rnacentral:rRNA from 1 species
UACGUAGGGGGCAAGCGUUGUCCGGAAUUAUUGGGCGUAAAGAGCGCGCAGGCGGUCGUUCAAGUCGCGUGUGAAAGCCCCCGGCUCAACUGGGGAGGGUCACGCGAUACUGAUCGACUGGAAGGCAGGAGAGGGUAGUGGAAUUCCCGGUGUAGUGGUGAAAUGCGUAGAGAUCGGGGGGAACACCCGUGGCGAAGGCGGCCAGCUGGGCCGGUCCUGACGCUGAGGCGCGAAGGCGUGGGGAGCGAACGGG